UACGUAGGGUGCAAGCGUUGUCCGGAAUUAUUGGGCGUAAAGAGCUCGUAGGCGGUUUGUCGCGUCUGCUGUGAAAACCCGAGGCUCAACCUCGGGCCUGCAGUGGGUACGGGCAGACUAGAGUGCGGUAGGGGAGAUUGGAAUUCCUGGUGUAGCGGUGGAAUGCGCAGAUAUCAGGAGGAACACCAAUGGCGAAGGCAGCUCACUACACGCCUAUUGACACUGAGGCACGAAAGCGUGGGGAUCAAACAGG
rnacentral:rRNA from 1 species